GAUGAAGAACGUAGCGAAAUGCGAUAAGUAAUGUGAAUUGCAGAAUUCAGUGAAUCAUCGAAUGUUUGAACGCAUCUUGCGCUCCUUGGUAUUCCUUGGAGCAUGCCUGUUUGAGUAUCAUGAGCAAAUCUCAAAGUCAAUUCCUUUUGUUGAUUCAAUUGGUUUUGCUUUGGACUUGGAGGCCUUGCAGAUUUCACAGUCUGCUCCUCUUAAAUGCAUUAGCUGGAUCUCAGUAAUUAUGCUUGGUUCCACUCGGCGUGAUAAGUAUCACUCGCUGAGGACACUGUUAAAAAGGUGGCCAGGAAAAUACUGAUUGAACCGCUUCUAACGGUCUAUUAAGUUAGACAAUUACCCUUAAGUUUGAUCUCAAAUCAGGUAGGACUACCCGCUGAACUUAAGCAUAUCAAUAAGCGGAGGA
rnacentral:misc_RNA from 1 species